ACGGUUGGCACGCUAUCCACCUCAGUCCCGUGUCCCCCGGAGCCGCAAGGCCCGAGGGGAUGAUUGCCUUGCAUCCGUGGUUGCCUGCGUUGCAUACCCGUCCGUCCCCAUUCCUUUCCUUCGGAGGAAGGAAGGAAGGGGGAAAGGAUCGGCCCGACAUUGUCCCACGUCCGUCCGGCGCCUCGCAAGGGGCUUCUCGGAGGACCAAGAAGCGGCUCCCGCGAUCCGCUCGCGUCGGCUCGACCGGCGAGUUCGGCCCGCGGGUUGCCGUUGCUCUCUCGGAUGCGGUGCAUGCCGAGGACUCCCGGGGGCCCCGGUCCCCUCACGUCCCGAACGAACGACUCGACUCGAUUCUCCCGAGAGACGCCCGCGCCCGACGCCCGCGAGGGCCGGCGCGCGAGACGUCCCCGAGGGUUGCUACCUG
rnacentral:misc_RNA from 1 species